UUCAUUAAGCAUUUAUUGAGUACAUACGAUUUACAAGUUAUGCAUAGCCAUUGCCUACCUUAUGUUUACAAUCUAGUUGGGAAAAUGGGAUAUACACACAAAAUAACAUUAGUAGAUAAUAAGAAAGCACUAUAUACUAAUACAAUAAAGUGCUAAAUUAUAUAAUAAAAGCAACUAGAAAAUAACAAUGUCAUAGUAACAAUAAUAGCAUGAAUACAAUGUUUUAUAGUAUAUGAAGCUUUUCCUUCUCUCAAAAUAAUGCUAUAAGAUACAACAGGAUAAUAUAUAAUAAGGUGCUAAUCGUGCAGUACAGGCAUCCUAACAUGAUGUUAGAGAUGCAUCAACAAGGAAACAAUUCUACUCAAAUCAAAAAUUAAACAUUGAUUAAGCAAUAUAGUAGCAUUUAUAUAGCAGAACAAUUUGCUUGGUAGAUUAGACAGAUAGUUCUUUGCCCUCAAGAAGUUUACAAUAAAGAUAUGAUACAAAUGCAAAUAACUAUGAUUUUUUAAAAAGACAGCAAGAAUUGUGAAAGAAGUGAAAACAAAGUGCCAUGUGAGGUACUACGAGGGAAAGAUGUUUUCUCUCAAUUUAACAAACACUGAUUAAGCACCUACUCUGUGCAAUUUAUUAAAUGCCUACUAUGUGCAAUAUUUGAAAGCACCUACUCCGUGCAAUGUUUAUUAUUAAGUACCUACUAUGUGCAAACCAUUAAGCGCAUACUACAUUGCCACAUGCAAAAGCUAGAAAGGAAGGCUUUCUCAACUAUAUUCCAUAUUGAUUAGGCCUUAUUCAGAGGUGAAAAAUUACUUUUUUUGUGUGGGCCUUUAUUUUGAAGAAGCAUGAGAACAUGAGAACAGCACCGGGUUUGUUUGUUUGUUUGUUUUAAAAGAUGAUGGGCCUUGUUUAGUCUGGAGAAGAAAAUGCUGAGGAAUAAUUUGUUCUUGAAAUUGAAAUUUAGGAAGAUGUAUUUCACAAAUCUACAUCUCCAUUUUGAAGAAGAAUAUGAAGGGAACUGGUUUGAGGAUAUUUAGAACAAAAAACAAUGUUAUCAACAAUUAAGUUUGUAAAACAUUGUGAAAAAAGUUUUUCCGAGAGGUUAUAAGGCCUCUUGCCCAAUAAGAUGAAAAAGGACUGGGAUGGUUUAGAUGCUGUCUUCUCCUGAAGUAGGACUAUUUAACAUAGCUGAGCUCAUAGAACUUAGAUCUCGGGAAACUUCAGUUGAACAUUGACAUGCCAAAGUCUCCCAAUUCCAUUUUUCUAGGCUCCCAAUGAAAUGAAUAGUCCCAAAGCAUUCGUUUAUGCCAGUCCAACAAAAUUUUGGAAUUCUCAACACUUGAAUUUUGUCAUCUGUAAAAUGGGGGAGUAUCAAAAAUAAUUCCUGUUAAAUUGAAUUAGGUGAGGUAAAUAUACUUUGUAGCAAAGAAAUGGAAACAACCCACCCAUGCUCGUGAAUCUAAAAAUAUGGCAAAACAAAUCAGUGUUAAUACUAUGCUAAUAAAAUUGAACUAAAACAAAGGUUGCAUUGUGUUGAAAUAAAAGAUGUAUUAUAUCCGGGGAAAAAAUGACUAUAAAGAUGAACACCAUUUAAAGAUUUAUAUGAGAUAAAUACAGGUGAAUUUAGCAGAAGUUUGGGGAAAUGAAAAGAUGGGAGGAAAAAAACAAAAGAUAAACCUGAAUUAAGAUAAUUGAAAACAACAAAAACAAUUCUAGAGGUGAAAGAAUGAAAUAUGCCUCCAAUAUUGUCAUAAGAGAAUGAGGAACUUGUGAGGCUAUUGGAAUUACUGUAACAUUUGAAACAGAUUGUACAAUUUUAACUACUAUUACUACAAAUCAGAUAUUUUUUAUUACUCAAAAAGGAAAAUGAAAAAGAAAAUAGAUAAAUAUUUGAACUAUUCAAAAUUGCUUUUCUUUUCUUUUUUCUUUUUCUUUUUUUUGGAAACAAAGCGGUUUUAAUCACUUGCCCACAGUCACAGAUCUGGUAAGAUCAGCCACAUUGGGACACAGAUUCUCCCGAGUCCUAGGGACUGGUUCUAUGCCAAAACAAUGCAAAUUUUAAAAAAUAUUUGUUAAGCAUUUAUCAUCAACCUGAUCAUUUUAACCAAUGAGUAAGGCAGUGACAUAAAAUUAGAAAGUUAACAGCUUAUUAUAUUUAAGUAUGAAAAGGCAUGGUUCAAUGGGACUAAAAGAAAAAGGCCAAAUUAUAAGAAUGAGAUAAUAGAUAAAUGCCAGAAACUUCAAACAACAAUCAAAAUUAAUGAAGAAAAAAGAGUAAUUAAAGGAAGUAACAUUUAGUGGAAAAUAUCAUAAUGAAAAAUUAAUUCAUAACCUUAAAAAGAUAGGCAACACAAAAAUUUGCUUGAAAAAUGAAGUUGCAAUGAAAGAACUUAGGUAACAGUGAGUUUCCUUCUUAAAGGGUAUCAGGAAAGAGCAACUUCCAUUAGCCUUCAACCCAGUGCUCCUUCACCCUUGCCCUGAGUAAAAAGGAUGCCCUGAGUAACCAACUAUUGGAAAGAAAUCAGGAAUCCUGCCACUGGGAAAUGGCUGACCAAUCUAUAGCCAUACACUGCUGAAAUAGAAAACAUGUCUCCAACACUGGGCUGCAAGGUGAGACAUUACGGGUACAUGGUGGUAUUUAUCCUGUCAGACAGGGUUCCCUUUUCAAUGACUAUUGGAAGAGUGAAUUUCCUUUGCUAUGGGGCUAGGUCAAGAAAUAUCACACAUGGGGCAGAGAACCCUGUAGAGUCCUUGAUGAUAAUGGCAUGGAAGCCCCAUGUAACAGAGAAGUGGGUACAAAUCUGAGGGCCCUAUAGGUGAAGAAUGGCUGACAAGACUUUAUCUCUGCUCUGAGUAUUAUGUGAUUGGAGCAAAAGAGCAACAAGACUAUUGCAUGAGGUAUUGGAGUAUGCAAGAGGAUAGUGAGAUAGCUGAUUAGCAAGUAUCCCUGCUGCUCCAGGUGGGCAGAGAGGUUUACAGGUACAAUGUGGCACCUUCCCCAGCAAUGAAAGGUGGUUUGUGGUUGCAGUGAGUCUACUUGGCUACAGGGUCCCAAAAAGGAACAAUAUCCAUUGGCCUGCAAUACAAUGCUCCUUCAGCUUUGCCCUUGGUGGAAAGAAUGCUCUGAUUGGCCAAGUAUUAGAAAGAAACCAGGGGCCCUGCCUCUGGGAAGUGGCUGUCAACCUACAGCCAUAUAAAACUGAAAUCCUGGCCACUGACCAAUAGAAAGGAAAGACCUGCCCUCUGACUGAAUAUCAAGACCCUCCUUGGUCUCAGAGAGCAAGAUAGCUUGUUGGGCCCCAUCUCUGGGGUCAGAGUGGGGCCCUCUGGGUGAACUGCUGCUUCCCCUGGCAGACCAGGGCAGCAUGGAACUGACUGGUGACCCAACGUCUGGUUUUUUACUGUGGAGCAAAUGCCAGGAGGACUGACAUGAAGCUGGGGUAUGAUGCUCAUUCUAACUUGGUCCCACUGUAAGGCCAGUUCUUACUAGCAAUGGCAAACAAACAGGGACAACCUUCCUAUGGAGAAUAGCAGAUGAAUCCUUAAUCAUACACUGGCAGAAGGCUUGGAAUAGAAAUGCUGAGAAAAGUCUUUUCCUCUAAGUAGAAAUCAUGACCCUGUUUGGUCUCCAGAGAAUAAGUGAGUUUGCAAACCUCAGUGCUUAGGGGUGAGUAUCUAUGAAUGAAAAGGGAUAACUCCCAAGGCAGAGAGGCUCCCAUUUGAACUGGCUCUGCAUUAAGUGAUUUUAAGAUCUAGAAGGCCUAGGAAAGGAGCAAAAGAGGUGGGGGUGGUAUUCCAUAUACAUUAAACCUGAAAGCCAGUAGACUAGAAGCCCUUCCUGCCAGAGAAUGGGUAGGAAAUAGAAACAAGGCCUUUAUCUGUGAUUGGAAGGGCUAACAAAUGAGGGUCUAUGCAGUGGAUUUUGUUUCUCUCUCACUGUGUCUCUUCAAGCUCCAUAGCUGUACCCCUGGGCUGUGAGGUGAGGCACUACGGUGCAUGAUGGAGUUUACCCUGGAACACAGGGUUACCUUGUUGGAUGGCUGUGGAAAUAGUGAAUUUUCUUUGCCAUGGGACUGUCACCGACAAUAUUCCACAUGGCCAAGGAAACCAUAUGGAAUUCCCCUUGAUUAUGGUGGCAUGUAAGCCCCAUAUUACAAAGAAGUGGCUACAAACUGGGGACCCUACAGGAGAAAAAUAAAUGAGAAACCUUUAUCAGUACACUGAGGGACAGAGUAGGAGGCCAAUGAACAGUUUAAGAAAGCCUGCACAGAAAUUAAAAUGGAGAAGAGGAUAUUAGAAAAGGGGGCAAAAGUCAAGUCCCCAUACCUGGGCUAUGAGGUGAGGCAGUCUGGUGUAUCAUAGUAUUUACCCUGGCAGUCAAGGUAACCUUUUUGGAUCAUUGUGGGAAUCGUGCAUUUCUUUGCAAUAGGACUUGGACCAAUAGGAUUCCACAUGGGGCAGAGAACCAUGUGGAAUACCCAUUGGUAAGGAUGGGAUAUCAAGUCCAUAAACCAAAGAAGUAUUACAAACCUGGAACCCUAUGGGGCACAUAUUUAGCCUAUACUGAGGGGAUAGUGUUGGGGACCAAUGUACAGUGUAAGAAAGCCUGUGCAGAAAUCAAGUGCAAGAAUAGUAUAUUAGAAAAGAGAACUAAAGUCAAGUCCCCACCCCUGGGCUGCAAGGUGAGGCACUACAGGUGCAUGAUGGUGUUUACCCUGGAGCACAGGGUUACCUUAUUGGAUGACUGUGGGAAGAGUGAAUUUUCUGUGCCAUAGGGCUGGCUCAAGGAUCAUCACACAUGGGGCAGACAACCAUGUGGAAUACCCCUGAGUACUGUUGGUAUGUCCAACCCAUAUAACAAAGAAGUGGUUACAAACCGGGGGCCCUACGGGAGAAAAAUGAAUGAGAACCCAUUAUCAGGAUACUGAGGGAACAGGGUUGGAAACCAAUGGACAUUUGAAGAAAGCCUAUGCAGAAAUCAAGAGAUAGAAUAGGAUAUUAGAAAAAGGAGCAAAAGUCAAGACCCCACCCCUGGGCUGCGAGGUGAGGCACUACAGGUGCAUGAUGGUGUUUACCCUGGAGCACAGGGUUACCUUAUUGGAUGACUGUGGGAAGAGUGAAUUUUCUGUGCCAUAGGGCUGGCUCAAGGAUCAUCACACAUGGGGCAGACAACCAUGUGGAAUACCCCUGAGUACUGUUGGUAUGUCGAACCCAUAUAACAAAGAAGUGGUUACAAACCGGGGGCCCUACGGGAGAAAAAUGAAUGAGAACCCAUUAUCAGGAUACUGAGGGAACAGGGUUGGAAACCAAUGGACAUUUGAAGAAAGCCUAUGCAGAAAUCAAGAGAUAGAAUAGGAUAUUAGAAAAAGGAGCAAAAGUCAAGACCCCACCCCUGGGCUGCGAGGUGAGGCACUACAGGUGCAUGAUGGUGUUUACCCUGGAGCACAGGGUUACCUUAUUGGAUGACUGUGGGAAGAGUGAAUUUUCUGUGCCAUAGGGCUGGCUCAAGGAUCAUCACACAUGGGGCAGACAACCAUGUGGAAUACCCCUGAGUACUGUUGGUAUGUCGAACCCAUAUAACAAAGAAGUGGUUACAAACCGGGGGCCCUACGGGAGAAAAAUGAAUGAGAACCCAUUAUCAGGAUACUGAGGGAACAGGGUUGGAAACCAAUGGACAUUUGAAGAAAGCCUAUGCAGAAAUCAAGAGAUAGAAUAGGAUAUUAGAAAAAGGAGCAAAAGUCAAGACCCCACCCCUGGGCUGCGAGGUGAGGCACUACAGGUGCAUGAUGGUGUUUACCCUGGAGCACAGGGUUACCUUAUUGGAUGACUGUGGGAAGAGUGAAUUUUCUGUGCCAUAGGGCUGGCUCAAGGAUCAUCACACAUGGGGCAGACAACCAUGUGGAAUACCCCUGAGUACUGUUGGUAUGUCGAACCCAUAUAACAAAGAAGUGGUUACAAACCGGGGGCCCUACGGGAGAAAAAUGAAUGAGAACCCAUUAUCAGGAUACUGAGGGAACAGGGUUGGAAACCAAUGGACAUUUGAAGAAAGCCUAUGCAGAAAUCAAGAGAUAGAAUAGGAUAUUAGAAAAAGGAGCAAAAGUCAAGACCCCACCCCUGGGCUGCGAGGUGAGGCACUACAGGUGCAUGAUGGUGUUUACCCUAGAGUACAGGGUUACCUUAUUGGAUGACUGUGGGAAGAGUGAAUUUUCUGUGCCAUAGGGCUGGCUCAAGGAUCAUCACACAUCGGGCAGAGAACAAUGUGGAAUACCCCUGAGUACUGUUGGUAUGUUGAACCCAUAUAACAAAGAAGUGGUUACAAACUGGGAGUCCUACAGGUGGAGAAUGAAUGAGAAAUCUUUACAGGACACUGGGUGUAAAGUGUUGGAUGCUAAUAAGCAUAAUAAUAAAGCCUGUUUUGCUUGAAACCAUACAGGGAAUAGCAAAGAUGCUUGAAAAUUGAGAAGAAAUAAAGACCUUACCUCUGGGCUGUGAAGUGAUGCAUUGUGGGAUGCCUGAUGGACUUUAUCAUGAUAGCAUUCCUUUUUGGAUGACUGUUGGAAUAGUGAAUUUUCUUUCCUAUUAGGCUGAAACCAGUAGCAUUCCACAUGGGACAGACAACCAUGUAGACUCUCCCUUUAUCCUGUUAAAAUGCAAGGCUCUGCCUUCAAGAAGUAAAUUAGUGACUGGUGUUGAAAAAUGGCUGAGAAACCUUUGUACUCUGAGGAUUAAGUGAUUAGGGCAAAAGAACAACAAAAGUUAUUGUUGAGGUAUUACAAUAUGUUAUAUAAAUAGCUAAUUAGAAUCCCUGCAGUCCCAGCUGAGCAGAGAGAUAGGGGAGUCUAGAUGCAGUGUGGCACCUUUUUUCAGAAAUCUCAUGUGGUUUGGGGUUGCAGUGAGUCUUCUUGGCUACAGGGUCUCAACAAGGAGCUACUUCCCUUGAUCUACAAUUCAGUGCUCCUUCACCCUUGCCCUGGAUGGAAAGGAUGCUCUGAUUGGCCAAGUAUUAGAAAGAAACCAGGGGCCCUGCCUCUGGGAAGUAGCUGUCAACCUAUAGUCAUAUAGUGCUGAAAUCCUGGUCACUGACCAAUAGAAAGGAAAGACCUGCCCUCUGACUGAAUAUCAAGACCCUCCUUGGUCUCAGAGAGCAAGAUAGCUUGUUGGGCCCCAUCUCUGGGGUCAGAGUGGGGCCCUCUGGGUGAACUGCUGCUUCCCCUGGCAGACCAGGGCAGCAUGGAACUGACUGGUGGUGACUCAAUGUCUGGUCUUUGCUAUGGGGCCAAUGCCAGGAGGACUGACAUGGAGUUGAGGCACCAUAUUCAUUUUUCUCUGGGUUAAUUGGAUUUUAAUAGAAAGCCCAGAUAAGGAGCAGAGGUGUUGGAGGUGAUUUCUGAUGGCCAUUCGACCUGCAUGCCUUUAGAAUGGAAGCUCUCCAUUCCCAAGAAUGGGUACAUAACCUACCUAUUUUCUUUUCUGUGAUUGGAAUUGCUAACCAACCAGGGUCUGUGCAGAGAAUUUUGUUUCUGUCUGCAUGUGGAGAGGUGGAAAUGUUGUUUAUGCUGUGUGUGUGUGUGCUAGAGAGAGAGAUAGAGAGAGAGAGACAGAGACAGACAGAGAGAGAUAGAGAGACAGAGACAGAGGAGAGGAGAGGAGAGAAGAGGAGAGGAGAGGAGAGAAGAAAGAUGGAAAGGGGGAGAGAGAGAGAAAGAGACAGAGGAAGAGAGAGACAGAGACAGAGAGACAAAGACAGACAGAGAGACAAAGAGAUUCCCAUAGAUAGGCAUAGGGACAGAGCCAGAAAGAAUGAGAGACAGAAAGACAGAGAGAGACAGAGACAGAAAGAGGGGAAAGAGACAGACACAGACAGAAGGAGAGAGAGUUAGAGACAAGAGACAGAGAGAGCAUUAAGUAUAGAGGAAUGAUACCUGAAAACUAAAACUACUCUUUUUAGCCUGAGAUUGUGUGAACAUUAAGUGUAAAAUAAUCUUUAGAAGAAAACAUGCCUUUAAUCCCAGACUAAGAGGGACCCUGGGUACUCUUAAAUACAGGCUUCCCUUUUAUCUGGCUCUUUGAAAAGUGGAUUUUCUUUGGUAGAGGGCUUCCUCAAAGAGCACCAAAUAUGAAAACCGACUGCAGUAUUGUUUGGCUCUUCAUUCAGGCAAAAUGGAAGCCCUGUUUUACAACAAUACCGAAAGAAACCAGGGGCCCUGCAUAUGGAGAUUUAUCUCUACUCUGAGGAUUCUGUAAUAUGGAUAAAAGAGCAAAAGGCAUGGGGUUCUGCCUGAGUCAUUAGCGUGACCAGUAGUAGCACAUAGAGACAGCUGAUUAGGAUAGCUUCUGCCCCCAGCUGAGCAGAAUGGUAGGGGUAUCCCAAAUGCAGUGAUGUUGCACCUCCCCUUGUAUUUUCUCCUUUAAUUUCCAUGGAAUGGAAGAUCAUUACAUGAAGAAAUGGAAAGAAACUCUUGGAUAAUUUGAGGUAGAAUGACUGAGAAACCUUCGUCUCUAUAUUGACGAGUGAGUCAUAGAGGUAGGAGAGUUUUUAGAGGAAGCCUUUAAAUGAUAUAUUAAAGUUAGUAAUAUGGUAGUGAAGGAAGUGUUUAGUAUACCUGCUUCCUGGUUCUUGCUUUAUUUGUGGGCGACAUGAGGUUCAAUAAAGCUUACCCUUUAAAACAGGGUUACUGUUCCCCUUGUUAUUUUUGAAGUGCAUUUUAUUAGCUAGAGAAUUAAUUCAAGGUACAUUAUAUAUGAAUUCAGCCUUUUUUUCAUUUUUUCUUGAACUAGACUUAAUAGAAUACCCUCAGUAUUAAGGAGACAAAUUCUCUCUAUUGACUUACUAUGUUUAUUUUUGUUUGAUAAAUAUUACUAGGGGUGGGAUAUUUCAUUGUUUUUAAUUAUCAAUAUGGUUUUCUGUGAAUAAAUCAGGAAUUACUUUUUCUUCUGUGUCCAGAGAGCUAAGACAGUAUGAAUCCAAAUAAUGUCUGCUCUUUCAGACAUGGUCACUUUUUGCUUAGUUGCGGAUUAAUUUUUUUCUCUUUUAUUCAUGUUCAAGGUGUCUCUAGCAUAAAAUGUAGACAACCAUGCUCAUUUUACUUUUUUAUAUCAUAAUUAAAACAAUAGCUAUCCUCAUUGUGGAAUGGAGCUGAAGGUCCUACAACUGAAUAAUUCUCAGUAGCCAAUUUUUAUUGUCUCCACAGUGGUUGCUUAAGGAAAGGAAAAAACAGCUUUCUAUGUAAGUAAUGAUAACGACCUCUAGUUACCAAAAGAGUAACCUAUUUGUAUGUUAUAGAACAAGUCAAAAGUAGCAAGGAUUCCUCCUUUAAAAUGACAACUGGGUUUCGGUAAUUUUAAAUUUUGGUGCCUAUUCACUCAUAUGGGUUCCCUUUACUUAUAAUCUUUUCUCAUACCUUUUUUUUAUUUUAAUUUUAAUUUUUUUGCUAAAGGAUUGGUUUGUGUUGAUACUUGUAUGGUACCCAUGCUCCUCCUGCCUGAAUCAAGUUAUUAUUAAUAUAUCCUCAGUCUUAGAAGUUGAAACAAAUCAAUAAGCCUUUCAGAUGAGGUAUGAUUGACAGAUUUUUGACCAUAUACUGACUAGUAUUGAAAAGGAAAAAAGAAUGAAGAAUUCCUUAUCUGUAUAUUUACAAAGAACAAUUUAGAUUCUAAAAAGUAAAUUACAAAACAUGGUAUCUUCUCUGUUGAGAGUCAGGUGGAUUUUGGUUCACUUUUUUCCUAAAACUAGUGUCAGUUCAGUGAAUAUAGUAAAUAUGUAAAGGAAGAAGACAUUUUGAGGAAGCCUUUCUCUAUGAUUAUAACUUAAUAUUACUUUAUAAGAAGAAUAUGUAAAGGUCAGGAAUUUUGAGAAUCCCUAAAAGAUUUUUAAUAAAUUUAUAUGAAGAAAAUUAGUCUAAAAUAAAAAUAUAUUUACCACUUAAAGUAAUGUAUAAGUAAAAAGAAGGUAAAUGCUGAAUAAUUUUCAGGACCAUCCCCCCCACAAUAGGUAUUGAACCAUGCCUUUCUCUUUUGGUCUUAGAGUUUGGGCUCUACAAUUUCAUUCUUUUUACAUUCGUUGCCUGACAGGGUCACCCUUUGGGUUGUUGUUGCUUCAGUUUUUCUUUGCUACAAGGCAUGUUCAUGGUGGAUUUCCAGUGGGGACGACCAUACCUGCUCUUUCUACCUUUUUAUAGGUGCUGUCAAUAUACUUUGUAGUAAAGAAUUGGAACAACCCGGGUGCCUUCCCCUAGAGGAAUGGGUGAGUAAAUCAUGUCCUCACGUACGAACGUAACAUAUUAUUGUACAGGAAUAAAGAAUUAAUAUUAGGAAAUGAAGAAACAUUUAAAGACUUCUUUGAAUUUAUGAGUGAAGUAAGCUCAAUCUGGAGCAGAUUAUAUACAAUGACUACAAUUAUCUAAGUGAAAAAAAAAACAAACAUUAAAAAGAAGAUAACUUCUAGCUAACUGUAAUGACCUGUUUUGAUUAUAGAAAGCAGGUAAUGCAUUCUGCUUCCCCUCCUUGGGAUGAGAGAUUUGAAUGUAUGGCCACACAUUAUUACUUACAUUAUUAGCCAGGGUGACCUUGGAGUUGGUAAUGCCUAACCAUUUUUGUUUACGACAAGGCAGAUUUAGUGUGGAACUGCAACGUUCUGAUCAUAUCUUUUCACCUAAUAAGGCAGUUAUAUAUUUUUUAUCAAAGAACUGAAAAUAAACUAGGUGCCCUUCACUCAGGGAAUGACUGAAUAAAAUGUUUUUCAGUACCCAUGUAAUAUAUUAUUAUGUCAUUUGAAAGGACAUGUGAGGAAUUCAGAGAAAUAUGAGAAGGCCUAUAUAAACUGAUGCAACAAGCAAGCAUAUUCAAGAGAAUAAUAUAUAUACAUAUAAAAGUAUAUACAAUAAAUGAAAAGAAUGAAAAAAGGAACCCAAACUCUGCAUAUAGUUAGAAUGACUCUUCUUGGUUCCAAAGACCAGAUAAUGAAAUGUGCCUUCUUCUCUUGGCUGAAAUUUGGGCAACUAUGGGUACAGCAUGUUGCAUUCCCUCUCUGAGUCACCAAAUUAGUGGCUACUGUUUGUUUUUCUUUGUUACAAUGAAUUGUUUGAUGCUAAAACAGAACAAGAUUGACUAUUCCUGCUUCUUCUACCUUGAAGUAGGUGUUGCUCAUAGGCAUGAGCUUGAUGCAUUCCCUGGAUGAAAGAAACUGAAUACAAGUUGCAAUACUAUUGGUACAUACAACAAAACCCCUAUAUAAUGCUGGUGUUAUAAAGGAAGGAUAGGCUAAAACCAACAGUAUAAAGGUAAGAGGGCACCAAGCUAAUAUUUAAGUUCUAUACUACCAUAUUCAGCCAGAUUUUUGCCCAUUUCUGGUGUUAGGAGACAUGGUUUGAUUUGCAAUUUUUAAAAUAAUGAGCUCUUGUAUAAUGGGUUCUGUCCUUGUUGCAAUCAUCAGAUUGCCUUUCAGGGCCAGAGAAGGGCCCUUUUCUGGCUAGGAGAACUUCCUGUUCCUCCCUCUGAUCCCCUGCCACUCAUACCCCUAGCCUAAGAAAUCUUGCUGCCUUUGCAGCCACCUGGAAAGUCACACAUGCUGGUGUCACAAUAUUCCCAAAGAAGGGCAAGAAUCAAGUCUCUAAUUGCAGAGGCUUGGUUACGGGAGCCUUGGGUCACAUUCCAGCCAGUGCCUUUUCAAGCACAGCCUCUGAACAAAUUGGAAAGUCCUUCCAAAAAAGAGCUCAACCAGGGAAGAGUGAGCAAAGAGGAGGAGGGAAGAGGGAGAAAGGGAGAUCUCCAGCUGUCAGCAGUCAGACAGCAGUGGCAAGCUUGGUGCCGCUGGAGAGAUUUUUUUUUUAAUCUCCCUACAAAGUGAUCCCCUUCCAUUAUGCUGAAAUCUAAGAAAAGCCCUUUGCCCAUGGACUUUCCUUUCUAUUAUGGCCCAGCUUUGCCCCUCACACCUCCUAAAUGCUGGAACAUAUCACAGAAUAUUCUGAAAUAUGUCCCUUAUUAUAAAAUCUGAGACUCUCAGGCCAGACUCUUGUGCAGUGCCAUGGGUCUGUUUUACAAGAAGCAUCUUACAAAAUUUCCCACAGCAAUUCUCUAAAGACCCACUUCUAAGUUUAUAUAAGGGUUAUAACAUUUGUUGGGAAUACCCACAAUAUACUUGAAGUGUUUAAGUAAAGACUUAGAUAUGGGAAGGACUUUUGAAAUGAUCUUAUCCGUCCUCCCACUCUAUCAUAUUGCUGAGGGAUGGGUGGAUGGAGGGGGAGCUUCUCUGAGCCUCUGUUUGAAUGCUUAGUGUCAGAAAGCUCACACUCCCUUCUGAGGCUUACUGAUCCAUUGCAGGACAAGAUCAUUGUUGCUUCUUGUACUAGUCAACAAUUUUUCUCCCUGUGACUUCCACAGAAUGGCACACAGUUACACGGCAUAAUCUUCCCCAAAAUCAUUUUCUCUCCAUUGUUCAUUCCUCUCUAGCUACCAAGGAAGGAAUUAAUCCCAAAGGGGAAUACAGUUCAGCAAUGUCAAAAAUUCUAAAGGCUGAAGUGUUUAUGACUUCCCUAAGGUCUAGAAGAAAGCAUUUUACUUUUAGGACCUUAACCAAAGAAAUACUAACCCAGCCUUAAAAAAUAAUAACAAUAAGUACCAACCCAAGAGAACUAUGUUUCUAGCCCAAUACUAGACUACAUUCACCCUGGGAGCUACAAAGACAUAUAAAGCACAUUCCCGGCCCUCAACACAACCUCAAGCUCACCAUUUGGCAAGGGAGCCCAGGCUCAAACAUAGAUUAAGCUGAGUAACAAUAUAAGACAACAACAGAAGAACACUCACUGGACAAUAUAUGAUGUGAGUGCCAACUAAACAAUACAGUACAAACAAAUGCUGUUUGAGUUCACAAGAGGGAGAGGUCCCCUGAAACUGUAGAAUCAGGGAAGGCUUCAUGGAGAAUGUUGGGCUUAAGUUGAGCCUUUGAAAGAUGACAGGGUUCAAGUCUCAUCUCCUCUGUGAAGCUCAAUUCAAAUGUCCCUCUUCAGAAGUCUCACUGUGGUGUGGAGAAGGUGACUGGGAAUCCUUGAAGUCUGUGCUUCGGGGGUAGGGGAACAAGCUUUGCCAGGACGGGCCAAGGAUGGACCGUUGCAUGAGGAUCAGCCAAGCUAAGUUCAUAAAGACUUAGGGCCAGGUCGGCCUCAUGGAGAUGAAAGUUUUUGGAAACAAUACCCCUCAAAGAACAUCGGCUAAGCCACAGAGGGAAUUAAAAUCUGUCUCAGUGGAAGGAGUUCCCACACCAGUAAAACUACAGAUCCUUGAAGUGUUGAAUCAUUUGAAAGAUGGGAGAUGGGGUUGGAAAAGGUAGUAUGGCACUAGAAUGUAGCCACCAGCCUAAGGAAUCUGGAAUUGAUGCUAUUAGGAACAGGGAACCCCUGGAAAGUCUUUGAACAGGGAAGUGACAUAACAAAUGAAAUCAGUAGUCUAGUGACAGCUCUGGCAUAAUCCCUCCCUCUCCCUGAGCAACCGACUCUUUAACAGGCUUCACUCAGCCAUCCUAAGAGGGAGUUCAGCCUACAGUGUCUGUGGCUCCAUAACCCCUUCAGGAGCAUACCUGGAGCCACUCGGAGCCAAUGCUCCGUUAGGCACAAUGGUUUCUAGGAGCCAAUGCCCCAUUAAGCACAAUCGUUUAUAGGAGCCAAUGCCCCAUUAAGUACAAUGGUUUCCAGGAGCCAAUGCUCCAUUGAGGAAAAUGGUCUUGGGCCAAAAAAUAGGGUGUGGCUCUCUGGAGAGACCACAUUGCUCCAUGGUUCUUAUUAUUUUCCCUGCCUGGCAGCUCUCUGAGCCCAGAGUAUCAGUUAUUCCAAAGCUGCUCACACAGUUUGGACAAAAUGAUCUCUCUCUGUUUUUUCCUCCCUAGAAAUGCCAGGAAAUCAAAUGCUUUAGAUCAAGGUACAUGUAUUAUUUGCAAGCCUUGGGAUGCUUGCUUCUACAAUGUAGCUAAUUAGUAGAACAGGAGCUCAGGCCAGUUUGCCCUCAAGGCCUCAGUUUCACCAGCUGCAAAUUUACAAAGUAGGACCAGAAUAUCUCUAAGGUCCCUUCAAAAGAAUCUUGGACUUGAAAUCAGCAGACUGAGUUCAAAUCUCAUCUUUGCCUCUCUUGUGAUUUUAGGCAAGUACUUCCCAAGAUGAAUUCUCCAUCUGUUGUGAGAAGGAGGACUGGAUAGUCUUUUAAGAACAACAGAAAGUUCUCUAACUCUGAGGUGUGAUGACCCUAUUUCAGGCCAUAUUCUCCUGAGGGGGUACAGAAAUCAUCCCUCAUAUUGUCAGGGUAGAAAUCAUCUGCUAAGUUUUUGUAGGAUUGUAGGGAUGCUUCCCCAAAUCCCCCUUAUAUUUCUUGUCCUCCUUUUGAUCUUCUCUCAAGACCCCAGAUGAGCUAAGGCUAUGUACACUAGGUACUGAUUAACACAACGAAGGGGUUUUACAGCAGAGUAUUUGACCGACCUUUGUAACCAUCUUUGAAGAAUAUUCUUCCAAUUGGGCUUCUGCUUCCAUUUCCGCUUCCGCUUCUUUUUCCUCUUUCUUUUUCUUUUUCUUUUACGCAUCCUGAUCUGGAUGAUCUGGUCUCUCUCACAUUGUUGACUUGCUUCUGGUCCUGAAAGGAAAAGGACAAAAUCAUCAAAGCAAAGUCUAACUGCUUUUCUU
ensembl:lncRNA